AGUGAACGCUGGCGGUAGGCCUAACACAUGCAAGUCGAACGGCAGCACAGUAAGAGCUUGCUCUUACGGGUGGCGAGUGGCGGACGGGUGAGGAAUACAUCGGAAUCUACUUUUUCGUGGGGGAUAACGUAGGGAAACUUACGCUAAUACCGCAUACGACCUACGGGUGAAAGCAGGGGAUCUUCGGACCUUGCGCGAUUGAAUGAGCCGAUGUCGGAUUAGCUAGUUGGCGGGGUAAAGGCCCACCAAGGCGACGAUCCGUAGCUGGUCUGAGAGGAUGAUCAGCCACACUGGAACUGCGACACGGUCCAGACUCCUACGGGAGGCAGCAGUGGGGAAUAUUGGACAAUGGGCGCAAGCCUGAUCCAGCUAUACCGCGUGGGUGAAGAAGGCCUUCGGGUUGUAAAGCCCUUAUGUUGGGAAAGAAAGGCAGCAGGUUAAUACCCCGCUGUUCUGACGGUACCCAAAGAAUAAGCACCGGCUAACUUCGUG
rnacentral:rRNA from 1 species